rnacentral:misc_RNA from 1 species
GUAGGCUUCCGCAUGGUCUCGGGGAUGUAGCGGGAGAAAAUUUCCUUUCUACACACUUAAAUUAGGCCAAACUUAUACCGACCAUUGAUCGUUCACCCGUUGUCAGCAUACUUGAUCUUGAUGAGAAGAAUAAAGUUAACACAAUUCUAAUGUCUUAACUGCUGAUAUGUCUCUUCCGUGGUGACACAGUAUUGGAUACGAGUUCGUAACGAGUGAAUGACUCCACCGGGCUGAUGUGUUACUUCCGUCUGUCUCGGCCGAAACAAGUCAUAUCAUGCUACACAUAGGUUAAUGGCCCGGCCGUCAGUCAUCUGGAGAGACGUGUAAAAUGAACACAAACUCCACUCCAUCGUUGAAGCGUCACACAUAAACAUAUCAAAGGGACAUUGCUAUUAUCUCUGAAACUAGCAAUGGUCAUAAUGACGGUCCUCGCCCUCACGACACUGUCCAGUGUUCACGCAACUUCUCCCAAUGUUCGGGUCAAGAGAAGGCCUGUAGAUCAACCACAUAAAGGAAUGUGCUCCAACUUCUGGUGGGGUGGAAUUUCUAAGGUCCACUUUUACACCUGCUGUAACAACCUGGAUGAAGGUCCUUAUCCCUAUUGCGAUGGUCGUACCUAUCACAGAGCAUCUAAUGGAUCCUACUGUAAGCCUGGUGGGUUUGACGGCGGGAAUGGUGAACAACAUGAAUCUUACCGUUGUGGAGGAUGUGACGGACAGGCCCGAGUAGCUGAGAAAUGUAGCCCAUGGCCUUCACUGGAUGUUGUAGGAACAUGCUGGGUGUUCACUAAGUGCUUCACAGACUUCUGCGAAAAGCGGUACCGAGUGAAUGGGUUAAACCUUGUAGUAAGGGAUGGGCCAGGAAUGCCAGACACCUGCUACAACGGAAAAUGUGAUGUCGAAGAAACUACAGACAACUGCCCAGUCGACUGCUGCUACAAGAAAAACAAACAGUGUACCUGGGGUAACAAAUGUACGCAGCUAUUUUGUUCCACCCCGUCUUGUGGGGUGGGAUGGAGUGGAGGUGAUGGUGUGUUUACAGCUGGGACAUAUGGCAUUAAGAUCCUGGCUGCCGCUGUGCUAGUGCUGGGUGUCUUCAUUGUUUAUUUUUUCAGAAGGAAGAGGCAAUACAAGCUGGCACAGUCACACAAUGUUUAAAACAGAUUUUCUCUUGUUGAAUCUAUGAUAAAUGUACGCUGAUAGAUUUCUAACAAUUUGUAAAUAUGUUGCUUUCAACAAUAACUUUAAUUUAUAUUCACAACGAUCGCUUCGGUAACAUGAAGUGAUAUAUAACA